GACGAACGCUGGCGGUGUGCUUAACACAUGCAAGUGGUGCGACGAACCAGAGCUUGCUCUGGGGCAAAGCCGCGAACGGGUGAGUAACACGUGGGUAAUCUACCCCGAUGACCGGGACAACCCGAGGAAACUCGGGCUAAUACCGGAUGUGGUACGGAGACAUAAGUCUCUUUACUAAAGGUAGCUUCGGCUUCCGCAUUGGGAGGGGCCCGCGGCCCAUUAGCUAGUUGGUGGGGUCAAGGCCUACCAAGGCAACGAUGGGUAGCUGGUCUGAGAGGACGAUCAGCCACACUGGGACUGAGACACGGCCCAGACUCCUACGGGAGGCAGCAGUGGGGAAUCUUGCGCAAUGCGCGAAAGCGUGACGCAGCAACACCGCGUGAGGGAAGACGGCCUUAGGGUUGUAAACCUCUUUCAGAUGGGACGAAGGUGAUGCGGUGAAUAGCCGAUGUCAUUGACGGUACCGUCAGAAGAAGCUCCGGCUAACUACGUGCCAGCAGCCGCGGUAAU
rnacentral:rRNA from 1 species